UAGGGAAUUUUUCACAAUGAGCGAAAGCUUGAUGGAGCAAUGCCGCGUGAACGAUGAAGGUCUUUAAGAUUGUAAAGUUCUUUUAUUUGGGAAGAAUGACUUUAGCAGGUAAUGGCUAGAGUUUGACUGUACCAUUUUGAAUAAGUGACGACUAACUAUGUGCCAGCAGUCGCGGUAAUACAUAGGUCGCAAGCGUUAUCCGGAUUUAUUGGGCGUAAAGCAAGCGCAGGCGAAUUGAAAAGUCUGGUGUUAAAGGCAGCUGCUUAACAGUUGUAUGCAUUGGAAACUAUUAAUCUAGAGUGUGGUAGGGAGUUUUGGAAUUUCAUGUGGAGCGGUGAAAUGCGUAGAUAUAUGAAGGAACACCAGUGGCGAAGGCGAAAACUUAGGCCAUUACUGACGCUUAGGCUUGAAAGUGUGGGGAGCAAAUAGGAUUAGAUACCCUAGUAGUCCACACCGUAAACGAUAGAUACUAGCUGUCGGGGCGAUCCCCUCGGUAGUGAAGUUAACACAUUAAGUAUCUCGCCUGGGUAGUACAUUCGCAAGAAUG
rnacentral:rRNA from 1 species